rnacentral:rRNA from 1 species
UACGUAGGGUGCAAGCGUUGUCCGGAAUUAUUUGGGCGUAAAGAGCUCGUAGGCGGUCUGUCGCGUCUGCUGUGAAAACCCGAGGCUCAACCUCGGGCCUGCAGUGGGUACGGGGCAGACUAGAGUGCGGUAGGGGGAGAAUGGAAUUCCUGGUGUAGCGGUGGAAUGCGCAGAUAUCAGGAGGAACACCGGUGGCGAAGGCGGAUCUCUGGGCCGUAACUGACGCUGAGGAGCGAAAGCAUGGGGAGCGAACAGG